rnacentral:tRNA from 1 species
UUCUUCAAUAGGUAAAGGGAAUAAUUCGUUUUUAUUAGCAGUAAAACCUGGAAUUUUCCCAGCUGCUUUACCCGUUCUAACUAGGUCGAAGAAAC